UUCUAUUCCUUCAACUCCCUCUAGAGCAGGGACUCUUACUGUUUUGUAUUCUUUUAUUUUGUAAAGACUUUAUAUAAAAUUAAAAAAAAAGAUUUAUUUUGUAAAAGCAUUCUGGCAAAGCUUAUAGCAUCCUCCUCAGAAGAAUGUUUUUUAAAAGCAUAAAAUACAUCAGACUGCAAAGGAAACCAAUGACUAUUGAAUGUAAAGAUGUCACAUUUUUUCAUCUCCAAGUUCAUAGAUCCGUCUGAAACCUAUCCAGCAACCCCUAGCACAGAGCUGUGUUCCUGGGGACCAGGACGGCCACUCGCACCUUCUUGGAGCAUCCCCUAGAGGGCAGUGUCACCCAACGAUUAGCUUCCCUUUUGCAUUACUGACUUGAAUUCUCUUAUUCUGACGGUGGAUGGUCUUUAGUUCAAUCUGGGGCUCUUUCUGACCUGCUGCUGGAGGAGAAGAUGGAGCUGGGCUCAAACCCACCCCGGGAGCAAAAGGCGAUCCUUUCCCUGGUAGUUAAAGAGGCAGACAGACAAGGGGCCAAUCACAGCUUCUAAAUUGCCUAGCACUGCCCAGAGGGCAGUGUCCGUGGGAUCCACCUCUCAUCAUCUGAGGGUGUAAACUCAUCAAAGGUUUCACAAGUUUCUGACUGAUUGAGUUAAAAGAGUGGAGCUCUUCAAGUAAUAUUGCUGAAGUUACUAGACAAAGGAGAAGAGGAUGGAAAGGGAAGUGGCAGAGGAGGAGGACACCAAGAAGAAGGAAAUGAUCAUUUUAUUCAUUGUAAUAAUCCCUUAUAUAUGUGUACCAAAUAUCCUAGUACAGUUUUAAACUUUAAUAACUUAAAAGUGCACUAAGACAUUUGGGACAUACUGUAUUAAAGAUGUUACAAAGCAUUUUCAGAUAUAGUAUUUCCUGGGGUUCUCAAAGCAACCUUGUGAAGUAGGUAGUAGAACUAUGAUUAGCUUCCAUUUUAUAGAUGAGAAAACUGAUUCAGAAGGGAUAAGUAAUAACAGCCAGCAUUUAUAUAAUACCUUAAAGUGUGUGAAGCACUUUACAAAUAUUCUUGUAUUCUAUUCUCCUAAUAACACCAGGAGGGAGGUGUUAUUAUUAUUCCCAUUUUUCAGAUGGAGAAAUUAAGGCAGGCAGAGGUUAAGCAACUUGCCUAGGAUGACACACCUAGUAAGUGUGUGAGACCACUUUUGAACUCAGGUUCUCUGGAUUCCAGGUUCCCCUGAGUCACCUAGUUACCCUAAGCAACUUGCCCCAAACUAGAGCUAGUAAUGGGUAGGUCAAAACUUGAACUUAGGUACAGGAAUCCAAGACAAUUCCAUUGUGCUGUUAAUGACUGACUGACAGAUUGGAGGAUCUUUUUUUUUUUGUGAAUAAUUGGGAAAGAUAACCUCAUCUGUGUGACCCUGGGCAAGUUCAUAACCCCUAUUGCCUCAUCCUUGCCACUCUUUUGUCAUAGAAUUAGUAGUAACCAUCCCCCAUGGGGGAAAUGGGCAAAAGAUAUGAACUUUUUGGAAGAAAUUAAAGCUAGCUGGCAUGAUUCAGAUCAGGGUUACAAAGGCAGAUGAGGAUUAGAAAAGAUGAGUCUUUCCAGACCUUGUUGUGCUGGAUUUUCUUUCUUUCCUUUCUUUAAAACUCUUACCUUCUAUCUUAGAAUCAACACUAUGUAUUGGUUCCAAAGCAGAAGAGUGGUAACAGCUAGGUGAUGGGGAAAGGGGCAUGGCAAACAGCUAAGAAGUGUCUGAGGCCAUAUUUGAAUCCAGGACUUCCUGUCUCCAUACCUGGCUCUCUAUCCACUGAGCAACACAACUGCCCCCUCUGUUCUGGAUUUUCAAAGUUAUUCUUCCCAUCACUCCUUGGAGAUGGAUCUGUAAAUCUGGACUGGAUUCUGAGGCUCAAAGUCCAACAUUUGGGUGAAGGAUGUAACCGUGAAAAUAUGCGUUUGCCAAGACUGUGAAUUGCCAAAACUGUAAAGAUAAUUUUUAGUGUCUUGAUUUAUAUUAAAAAUAAGUGGUCACCAUGGGAAAAUUCCCCAAUAUGAAAAUACCCAAGUCAGCUGGGUUUUAUGGAGAUUUUAAUGAAUACAAAUGAAGGAAUUUAAGGGAAGGGAGAGAGAGAGAGAAAGAGAAAAAUAGUAGGAAAGGCCUAGGCCAAAUGGCCUAGGCCUGAACCUUAAGAGAGAUUAGUCAGUCUUUAUCACUCACCACAAGAUCAUUCCAAGCAAGCGCUAGUGUUCAGAGAGACCCUCCAAUUCAGCUUCCAAACUGAACUCAAAUUGUAACUGAAUUCAAUUGCCUUGAACAUGUUCCUUCACUUCCUUUUAAAGAGAUUUUUUUCUUAUGUCACCUCCCCUAAAUUUUCACGUCUACCAAUCACAGUAGAUGCUUUUUCCUAGAACUUCCCAUUCUAAGUUCACACCAUUCUUUAGUUCUCUCUGGGUAGACUAAAACUUCACACCUCUUUUAUUAAGCUUGCCUUUUGUAAGUUGCUUGACCUUUUAGUGAUUAAUUUAACCUUUAUAGGUAUUUAGCACCCUUUUGUAUUAGAUUUAAAAAUAGACCACCUAGUUUAGGGUUUUUGCUUCACUAUAAGUAUGAGUUGGGGACUUUUCAUUGUUCAGUAAGGAGUUUACAACUUUAUCUUCCCCUAAGGAACUGUCUGAGCAGGGUGGAGUAAUUUUAAAAGUUCUCAAUACAUUCCUGACUAAGUACCUCCAUUGUAGAGAAUGGGGAAUAGCUUAAUCAAAUCUUCUAAGGUAUAGUCUGAGCAAUUUUAAGAUUCACAAGGAUGAAAAAAGUCCUAGAUUUCCAGGAAGUGGUAGUCGGAUGGGAGAGGCAAGUUGUUUGUUGUUUGUUCCUGGGGAGAUCCCAGUCUGGUGAGGAGAACUAACAGGGAACUCCCAGGCUCACUGAGAAAGCAGUCUCUGCCUUCAAGGAACUCUGAAUGUGAUGUCAUAGCAUGGACAUGCAUGAAAUUAACAAAAAUAUAGUCUGAUUAAAAUGCUAUAAUGAUUAGGGGGAGCUUGGACCCAAAUAACUUUAAAAAUUUCCUUGGGUCUGAAAUAUAUAUAUAUAUAUAUACAUAUGAUAAAAAUAAGCUCCGAAUUAAGUAAUCCACAGGCAAAUACUUAAAGAACUAUAUAAUUAUGUUUUCUGCUAUAAUCUUUUGAUUUUCCCUUUCAUUUUGGUCUAUCCUGCUUUUCAUGGCUUCCAGCUGUUUGAUUUUGGUCUCUAAUUUAUUUAUCAUUUCAUUAGCUUUCUGGGCUUCUUUCUCCAAUUGGGAGUUCCUGUCUUUUAAACUGUUAGUUUCUUUUUGAACUAUUUCCCACUUUUCUUGCCAAUAUUUUUCCAUCUUUUUGAUAAACUUGUGGACAAUUUCCAUUUUUUUGAAGGUUUGGAUGCAUUUAUUUGUAUGUUCUCUUCUGCUAUUUCCUCUGUGGUCUGUAUUUUACCUCCAUAAAAAUUAUCCAGGGUCAAGUCUUGUUUUUCUUGGUGUUGGGAAGCUGUUCCUGGGCACUGUUUGCCAUCACCUUGGUGGUUUUCCCUUCUCUUUCCAGUCAAAAGUCUGAGUGAGGAGGUCAGGCUCUCUGUGUGUGGAGCUAAGGAGUAUGAUUUUUGCCUGAGGCCACCUCUCAAGUCUCUGCAGCUUCUGUUUGCAGCCCUUCUCUGCACUAUCUCCUCGUCCAAGGUCUGCGCUCUUCUGCCUGUUGGGGCCUCAAGUCUAGCUGCUCUCAGGGGAAGGUCUUUGGUAGUCUUAUUCAGCUGCCAAGGAUCUAGAGGUGCUCCUCACUGUCUCUGAGUCUAGCGCACUGGCUCCGUAGGUGGGGUGGGGGAGGGUAGAUCAGUUCGCAUUUUGGUGGAAGCUAUCUCACCCCCUUAUAGAUUGGAAAUGCCCAAAUCCCACAUACCUUCAAUGCUGUGCCAAACUGUGGAGUCCCUUCGUUCAUAUGAAUGUGGGUUUUUUUUUUGCCUUUUAAGAUAGUCUAUAUUGGUAGGUGCUGAGGAGAAGAGUCCUGGGUCUAAACUGCAGCCAUGUUUACCUGGAAGUCCAGGACUGUAUAAUUAUAAAAAUGCAUUGAGGAGAAAAGGGGAAAGAGGAUCUAGGAUCAUGCCAGAUGUUUCAAGAUCAUAAUUCAAUUCAAUACUUGUUUGAGUGGCUACUUACUAGAUACUCAACACUAGGUUAGGAACUGUGAUUGGGAAACAUUUCCUGGAGGUGGUGGCAUCCCAGGAAGGAUAAAUUGGAGUGGUGUUAGAUGGGAGGAAGUCACCUAUAGAUUAUCCUGGGCACAGGCUUGUGGAUAGAAAAGGGAGGAUUGGUAUGGGAGUGAGGUGGCCAUGAAGACAUGUAGGGCCAUCUCUAAGUAGAGGCAGAAGA